rnacentral:lncRNA from 1 species
UUUGGUUAGAAUUUGGUUAGAAUUUGAUUUAGGGUUAGGGUUUGGUUAGGAUUUGAUUUAGGGUUAGGAUUUGGUUUAGGAUUUAGGAUUUGAUUAGAGUAUAAUUUAAGAUUUAGGAUUUGGUUAUAAUUUGAUUUAGGAUUAGAAUUUAGUUAGGAUUUGAUUUAGGGUUAGGAUUUGAUUUAGGAUUUAAGAUUUGAUUAGAGUGUGAUUUAGAGUUUAGGAUUUGAUUAGGGUUUGAUUUAGGAUUAGGAUUUAGUUAGGGUUUAAUUUAGGAUUAGGAUUUGAUUAAGGUUUGAUUUAGAAUUAAGAUUUGGUUAGGAUUUGAUUUAUGAUUAAGGUUUGAUUAGGAUUUGAUUUAGGAUUUAAGACUAGGAUUAAAAUUUGGUUAGGAUUUGAAUUAGGAUUAGGAUUUAGUUUAGGAUUUAGGAUUAGAGUUAAGUUUUGAUUAGGAUUUGAUUUAGAGUUAGGAUUUAGGAUUUAGUUAGAAUUUAAUUUAGGAUUUUGGAUUUGAUUAGGAUUUGAUUUAGGAUUUAGGAUUUUAUUUGAGUUUAUUUAGGAUAUGAGAUUUAAUUAGUUUUUGGCCUAAAGUUUGAAUGAAAUAAGAUUUCAACUAGGAUUAAAUUAAGAUUGAAUUCAAAUAUAUUUGAAAUAUGUUUGUAAUCA